ACAGAACCUCUUUUGACAUCGAUUUGACUGAGAUUUUUCAUUGAGUUGGCGCCAUCCGACCUGAACUUCCAAAAGGAGCUGAGAAAAGGAUCUAGAGAGCCACGACUGGACUGCUGGACGACUAAGGCAUGAUUAACGACUGAGCUUGCAGUGCUCACUCCUUUUAUACCUACGAGCGACCAUCAGAAAGGGGUGGGAGUAGGUGCAGCAGCAUUUAAUUAGUGUCAAAAAAUUCUUGUCAAUAAUCACUUCAUACCCCAAAACUCAAACCUCAUCAUGGAUAACAUCGUAGACCUCCUCAACAAUUGGCUCAACAACCAAGAACUCCAAGCAACAUUCCUCAUGGGUUUAACCUGUAUAGGAGCAUGGGUUGUCCUCACGUGGUUCCUUUGCAUAUUGGUCUCUAUCAUCUGGCCGAUUGUCAUCAUCAUCGGCGUUGUUAUGAUCUUCCCCCAAUUUGGCUGCGCCGUCUUCAAUCAAAUCCUACCCAAAUACAUGGAAUAUAUGAAUAUGAUGAUCCGACGGAUUCUGGCGUGUAUUAAUUCUCCUGGCGAUGUAGCAUGUUGUUGACCAGAAAUGUACCGACAAAGAACGACAUUAUUGCCAAUAUAAUUGAGUUUUGAGGAUAGAAAGAGUGGAGACGGUAGUGAGACGAUAAUAAUAGUGCAAUCGAGUAAUACCCUCUUAUGUAGUGCGAUAAAAGCGAUUGAUGGGAACGCCGUGUAAUGUUUGUGACGACCAAAUUGAAAGCCAUCGAACGGACACGAACGGCCUCGGCUAAUAGUCAUCGCGCCGCCACCGCCGCCGCCACUGUCACAUAUAUAAGUACUUUGGAAUAUAGCAUUCAAGGUAAUUAAAGACAAAUGCGAAAGGAGGAAAA